UAAGCGGAGGAAAAGAAACUAACAAGGAUUCCCCUAGUAACUGCGAGUGAAGCGGGAAAAGCUCAAAUUUAAAAUCUGGCGGUCUUAGGCCGUCCGAGUUGUAAUUUAGAGAAGCGACUUCCGCGCCGGACCGUGCACAAGUCUCCUGGAAUGGAGCGUCAUAGAGGGUGAGAAUCCCGUCUUUGACACGGACUACCAGUGCUUUGUGAUGCGCUCUCAAAGAGUCGAGUUGUUUGGGAAUGCAGCUCAAAAUGGGUGGUGAAUUCCAUCUAAAGCUAAAUAUUGGCGAGAGACCGAUAGCGAACAAGUACCGUGAGGGAAAGAUGAAAAGCACUUUGGAAAGAGAGUGAAACAGUACGUGAAAUUGUUGAAAGGGAAACGCUUGAAGUCAGUCGCGUCGACCGAGACUCAGCCUUGCCUCGGCUUGGUGUACUUCUCGGCCCGACGGGUCAGCGUCAAUUUUGCCCCUCGGAUAAUGGCAAGGGAAAGGUGGCACCUUUACGGGUGUGUUAUAGUCUCCUGUCGCAUGCGAGGGGUGGGAUUGAGGAACUCAGCGCGCACCUUGGUGUCGGGGCUUCGGCCCACGUCACGCGCUUAGGAUGCUGGCGUAAUGGCUUUAAACGACC
rnacentral:rRNA from 1 species